UGCGUGAACCCGGUCGGGAUGUAGUAGGGGGUGCGUGGCCUAAAAAGUUUGGGAACCGCUGCUCUAACUGAAACAAAGUGGUUCUCUUUCAAACAAAGUGGUUCUCUCUCACUUCAUCGACUAGUGUCGUUCUAUGUAUCUCAUGACUGUUGCCAUCUCUCUCCCCCUCCUAUCUGUCUCUCUCUCUGUCUCUCUCUCACUCUGUCUCUCUCCCUCCCUACAGCAUAAUGUGUUUGACUAUGACAUAAACUACACUGGUUCUGGCGACUUGGGGGUGGCCCUAAAGGAUCCGUGUGACCUGGAUCAAGUGAUAACCCCUGACGUCCAGCGAGUGUUCCUCCCCGUUGAGUCUCACGAGAGUGGUGUGAUAGACUAGGAUCGCAUAUUGUGUUUGACUAUGACAUAAACUAUACUGGUUCUGGCGACUUGGGGGUGGCCCUAAAGGAUCCGUGUGACCUGGAUCAAGUGAUAACCCCUGACGUCCAGCGAGUGUUCCUCCCUGUUGAGUCUCACGAGAGUGGUGUGAUAGACUAGGAUCGGGUAUUAAACCAGGUCCGGUCAACGACAUGGUGAUCCUGUCAGCCCGACCAAAAGAAAGAAGAUUGAUGGAAGGCAUAAGGAUUAACCUGUAUAGAGGAGUAACAUCACCUCUGCCUGAACCCUCUUGUUUGAAUGUUGGCGUUAUAUACCAGGACCUCCCUGCUUAUCUGGCGCCCAUGAUCACAACUAUGGCCAUCUCCCGUGACGUGCCGCUGGUCGACUCUUUGUUUGGGCCUGUUCAAAAGGGCAGCGUACUGUCUUAUCAAAUGCCAACCAAGGCAGUGCCCAGAACCUGCCCACACUCAGAUGCCCCAUCUCCCCCACAGCUGCCACUCUGUGAUUACAGGCUUGGGCCCUCUACCUGUUCUUUCAUAUACACACUACAACAACACCAUCACAUGCGAUGGAAAACCUGUGUUUGGACUUGUUGAGAUAAAAUGCCCGAAUGUAUCUAGCUAUGUGGACUGCCCAUAUAUUAUGAGCAGAGGGGGAAAACCCAAACUCAGGAAAACACAUCCUUACUUUUAGCAAGUCCAAGGCCAAAUGUUAAUUUCUGGAUGUCAUUGGUGUGACUGUUGUGUACACACAAGAGGACAUGUUUAUACAAAGGAUUACCCGUGAUAAUGAAACAACAAACGUCAUUAAGAGAUGUCUCAUAGGUAAAUUCUAUUAUCAUGUUUCUGUGGAACUCAGAUGCUGGGUCAUCCACAUGGAGAUACCGAUUAAUGGAAUCAAAGCUUUUGAGUUAGUCACAGAGUUCAUCAUCUAAUUCAGUAUUGGUAAGGCCACUAACUAUAAGAGAGUUAGAUAUUUGCACACCUUCACCAUUACUACAUCCAUUUUCUAUUUUGCCGGACUUAAGACUAUUUUGGAUCUGUGAAGUCUGAUUUUUAGUAUUAAAUAUUACGUUUCUUCUAUAGCAACUGCUCCUGGCUGGCUCGCCAAAGAAUGUAGCACCUAUGAUGGUUGAACAGUGUGCUAAGGACCAGUUCUAGAUUUGAUGGGAGCAGAAGGGUUAGAAAUAAACAGACCAUAGAAUAGAUUUAAAUUUACAGGCGUGCUUUAUCUUGUAUUUAACCAAUGGAUAUGUCACGACGUGAGGUGGGGUUGGACCCAAAUG